rnacentral:lncRNA from 1 species
AUGAGAGCUGAGGGAGUGAUGGCACAGAAGGCUAAAUCUUCACCAUCCCCCUGGAAAGGACCUCUAUCAAGCACGCUCGUGUCUGAAUUACAUCUCAGCCCUAGGGAAGAUGGUUUCUUCAGUUCCCCUUCAAGCCCUCCAUUCAUGUGCUGUAGCGGGAUGAACUCAGAAAGCCCUUGCGCUCCCAGGUCUGCCUUCCUCAUUUCCUUCCACACAUUUCCAGCUGCCCUUGCCCAAAGCUGGCCAGGCACAGCCACAAAGCCCAAACCAAGCCCACAAGUGGACAGGAGCCUUCCCAGCUGCUGGAUGAUUCCUCGCCAGGACAGCAUGGGCACGAGUUUCAGUACAGCCUCACUUAUUCCUACCUGGGAUCUGCAUGGAGUCAGCACAGCCUGGGGUCAUGUCAGCAAAGCCUGA